UCACUUUGGCAGUACAUAUACUAAAAUUGGAAGAAUACAGAGAAGAUUAGCAUGGCCUCUGAACAAGGAUGACAUGCAAACUCAUGCCAGAUUAUACAAUUUUUU